UGCAAAGUCUUGCCGCUGGGAGCUCUCAGACCUGGAGCAGCUCGGGCCCACAGAACCAGCUAUGGUUAUGGGCUCAGUAACAGGAUCCAAUUUAGCCCCCAAACCAAGGAGGUAUGCCCGCUACAGAAGCAAAGGACAACUCAAAAGCAGGACCACCACCCUAUACACUGUCUGGACCAGGCUCCUGGAUGUCCCAUCGUUCCCACAUCAUUCCAUAAUCACGUUAUAAUUUCCCCGUUCCAUGGAUAUUUCAUAUUUCUGUUUUCAAAGGACUUGAAAUCACAAGAAAACAUGAAAUAAAGCUACUGAUUAUUUGAAAAUUACUAUAGAAAAGCUCACCCUAAGCUAAUUUUUCAACUCUACCAAGAAUUCCAUCUAUCCUGAUACAUGGAGCAAGAAAAAAGGGGGGUCACAAAAUUAUCCUGGUGUAAGGAGAAUAGAGGAAUGGGGGAAAGGACCCUCCAGAGUGAACUCCUAAAGGCCUCUCUACAGAAUGAGAGUGAACUUCAAAGGACAGAAAAACCACUGGACUUUUAGGAAGAAAUAUUUAGCAGGUAGUCCCUUUUAAUAUCAGCAUCUCUUUUAAGAAAGCAUUGAAAUUCUAAAGCAUGUGUUUUCAAAGGCCAUUGCUUCAGUGUUGGGGCGGAGGUCUGGAAGCUAAUACAAAUCUCACAGUUCUCAACAGAAAACUGUAUGACUAUCACCCAUCCUGAGGGUAGGAAGAGAGGAGAGGGUGGUGAUCAGGAAAGAGGUCGGGGCAUUGGAUGUGUGGGAAGAUGGAUUGUCUUAAUGAAUUAAGGAAAAAGAGAAGAAGAUCUAAUUACCUACAUUAAACAGAACUUUCAUUAUAAAGAGUACUUUCCUAAGAUGCUGAUAUCAUUCCUACCAAGAAGCCCUGGAAAAGGAGUCGGUAAUUAGUGGACCUCCUCUAAUACCCCUCUUAAGUACCAAUUAAACCUUCACUGGGAGUUGACAGCAGUGACCACAAGAAUGUCUGCUCCAGGGUGUACUAGAGGAACAGGGUGCCAGGUUUCUGCUGUGUCCGUCUGCUGGUGGUAAAGUACACAUUGUCUAUCCGAGUAGGAAGGAUCCCAUAAGGCACUGCUGACUGGACAGAAAGCUGAGCAACAGUGAACUACAGACAUGCCCAAGGAAAGAAAAUACGCCUCUCCUGACUUUGAUUUCUAUACAAAUAUCAAAACAAGGGUGCAGCUGGGACACCAAAACUCUACUCCAACAUAGCAGAGGAGAAACUUCUUCAGCCUAGUUAAGUCCUCACACGUGGUCAGUUUCCAGUUAGCAUCACCUCGGUGGGAACUUGUAGAUUCUUGAAGAUUCUUGGGUCCACUUCAGACCAGCUUAACUGAAACUUUUAUGGUAGAGCCAGGGUAUCAACAAGCUCUCUAUGAUUCUGAUGCAAUGAAUCUGAAAACCACUCGUCUAGAAAGUUUGAGGCUAAAUACGGCAGCAAGCUACAGGAGGUAUUUUACAAAUGCUGCUUUGCCUCUCUUCAAAGUCUCUGUUGUACUCUGAGAAGAAAGGUGUUUGCAGAUGCCUCUUGAAGGCAAACGACCAAAAGCGUCUUGGAAAGGGUUUUAAGACCCAGGAGUUAAGAAACGAAGGAAAGGGGUAAAUUUUAAGAAACUAAUUCAAGUCUCAACUUGAUUAACCAGAGAGAAGUCUUCUGUCUUCGGGUAACUAUGCACUGCUCUAGGCUAGCCAAUGCAAACACAGCUCAAAACUGAAAAGACAUUAGAAGAUACAGAACCACGCCUGCUCCCAGGUGGCUAACACCAAAGUGCCUUCCAGAGUCAGCCAUAUCAUCGGUCUCUUAUAGAAAGAUGGCAAAGAAAGACAAAUAUUUUUUGUCCCACUUUUCUUGCAUACCAAUGACAGCAUACUACUCACACUGUUUUACACAUUGUUUUUCUCACUUACUACAGCUUGGUGGCUGUGCCAUACCAGAAACAUCCGGAACCACCCAGAAAGGUUCUGAGUUUCUGAAAACAUACAACAAUACAAGGUGUGGGACAGUUCUCUGUGAAGAAGGAAAAGCUGGCAGGACAUCACAUGAUUUUUCAAUGGACCUCCAGCACAUCCUCAAUUCUCCAUUUGCAGAACAUUUUUCAAGCCCUAUUGUGUGUUGUUUCACAACACAACAUUAAUAUGGAAACCUUCACCUGGGUCAUUACAUAAAUACAAAGUAGCAUUACUGGAAUGCACUAGAGUCCAGUGAUUCAGGUACCCUAGGACAAAAGUAGAAAGGAGCUUAACCACUAGAGAAAACUCAAAGCAACGACAUGACUCAGAAGGAUUUUAUCUAUUAAGUUCAAUGACUAUAAAUCACAUUUUAUCUGUAAGAAUUAAAACUCAACCAAUGAUAAAACACAAACUGACUAAGAACAACUUGCUACUUGAUAGAGCUAUUUUCCAACACUUACAAUCAGGUAAACAACACAAAAUAAAAUAAAUGUAAUCUAAUAUUGCACCAAA